rnacentral:lncRNA from 1 species
CUCCUGCAUUCCUCCCAUGCGUGUCCCAAAUGUCCAUAUCCCACUCCCUCCAUCCCACACCCUAAGCACCACCCGAAGCACCCUCCCAAGGUGAAACCCUACCCUAAGCCCAAACCUCACCCUCCAAAGCCACCAGUAGUUGGCCCUCCUAAACCUCCUCCGGUUGUCCCACCACCACUCCCACCUGUAGUUGUUCCCCAACCUCCUCCCUAUGUGAAGCCUCCGCCUGUGCCGCCCGUUGUCGGUCCACCCAAGCCUCCUCCGGUGGUGUACCCCCCCGUGCCGCCUGUUGUCGGUCCACCCAAGCCUCCUCCGGUGGUGUACCCGCCCGUUCCGCCCGUUGUCGGGCCACCCAAGCCUCCUCCGGUGGUGUACCCGCCCGUUCCGCCUGUUGUCGGGCCACCCAAGCCACCUCCGGUGGUGUACCCACCCCAGCCGUGCCCGCCGCCGCCGCCGCCGCCGCCCAAGGAGACAUGCCCGGCGGACACGCUGAAGCUGGGAGCCUGCGUCGACCUGAUCAGCGGCAUGAUACCCAUUCGGAUCGGGGCGGACGCCAAGUCGACGUGCUGCCCGGUG